CCAGCCCGCUCAGAACUUAAAGGAAUGACGGGGCCGCACAAGCGGAGGAGCAUGUGGUUUAAUUCGAUGAUACGCGAGGAACCUUACCUGGGCUCGAACGUAAGAUGACUGUAGGUGAAAGCUUACAUCUCUUCGGAGCAUUUUACGAGGUGCUGCAUGGUUGUCGUCAGCUCGUGCCGUGAGGUGUCGGGUUAAGUCCCAUAACGAGCGCAACCCCUACCUUUAGUUGCCAUCAGGUUAAGCUGGGGACUCUAAAGGAACUGCCUACGCAAGUAGUGAGGAAGGCGGGGAUGACGUCAAAUCAGCACGGCCCUUACGUCCAGGGCUACACACGUGCUACAAUGGCCGAUACAGAGGGCAGCUACCUGGUGACAGGAUGCAAAUCUCCAAAGUCGGUCUCAGUUCGGAUCGGAGUCUGCAACCCGACUCCGUGAAGUUGGAUUCGCUAGUAAUCGCGCAUCAGCCAUGGCGCGGUGAAUACGUUCCCGGGCCUU
rnacentral:rRNA from 1 species